rnacentral:lncRNA from 1 species
GCAAUCUCAGCUCACUGCAACCUCCGCCUCCCGGGUUCAAGAGGUGUUACAGUUCCAUGACUGCUCCUGUAGAGCAGGACUACUGUGUAGGGAGAGAGUAGCCGUUCAGGGCCAUUCUGCAGUCAUAUUUACACGCACUUUAAUUGCAUGCAGAUAAAGGAACAGUUUAUGCAGCAAUUUCUAGGGAAGGGAUAGUAACUUUUGGGUCAUUGGGUCAUUGCCAUGGAAAAGGGUGGUAACGCCCACAUGUUGCUAUGGCAACGGUGAAUUGACCCGGCACACUAGUGGGCGUGUCUGAUUGAAAGCGGCUUUCUCUGGGGCCGUUUUAGCUAGUCCUCAAUCUGGUCCCGUGUCCAAGUGUCCAAGCCAUGCCUCUGGAGUUGAGUGCCACCUCCUACCUCACCUUGUUGAAUAGAAAAUGAAUGAGUGACAGUAUGAAUGAAUGGACACCUGUUAAAAGAGCCAUCUAUUACAGCUAAAUGAAUGAAGGGCAUAGACAGUCCUUUGGUUGUUUUUCCAACUAGAAAUCUCUCCCUGUGUUCUGUGAUGGCCUAAGUCUGGCCCUGCUCAAGUGAGGGACUUCCUCGAUGGGCUGGUCUCAUUCUUGUGCCCUCCAGGACAGCAGGGCAGAGGGAGAGGGAAAUGGGAGGGGCUGAGGGACAACGUGGCUCUUCUGGGAGCCUCUUUACCCUGUGAAAUUUCCUCUGGCAGCUUUCCCCCUUGGCCUGCAGCCUGUGCCGGCCCCUGCCCCCAACUCAUUGGCUUUGGUUACAGGGACAGGCCCAGAGUCAAGAACAAUAAAGGGAGGAGGGGCCUGCUUCACAGGGUCAGGGGUCAGGGAGGGGGUUUGAAGGGUGAGGAGAUUGGCUCUGUGUAGCAUCCGGUUUCAAACAACUCUGUUUAGAAAUAGAAGAGAAGCCCUCCGGAAAAUGGAAGGGCUCUGGCAGGCCUCCCAGCUGGCCAAGGAACAGCAAGUUCCUGCCAAUAUGUGACGGAAGUGGGGGAUUUGUGGGGAGGGAGGAGGGAAGAGGGCACUGGAGGGAGUAGACACAACCUAGCAACAUUUUCCCUGCUAAAAACCUUGCUCUGAAGUAAACAUGGAGGGUUCUUAUUCUUCCUGGCUGUGUGCACUCGGGCCAGCCUACUUCCUGUGGGCGCAAUUAUUCCCAGGGGUGUGUGUUUUCGUUUUUAAAGACAGAGAAUUAUAAGCUAUUCAUGGUCACUGCCUGAGAAUUCUUUGGAAUAAUGAGAUAGAAAAAUCAUCUCUACUGUUCACAUUUCUGAGGAAGAACAAGCCUUCUAGACUCUCUCCUAGGAUGGGGCUGGGAAACUCACUUUUUCUCCUGCUAAGCUCCUUCUCAGUCCAUUAGAGCCAGAGGGCCAAUAGGGGCCUCUUCGUGCUUUGUAGGCUAGAGGGUGUAAAGAACCUAGAUGUGCAGGAAAUCUGCUCUGGCUGAUCAGGCAGGUGAACUCGGGGAGGGAGAGCUCUAAGGGAGGACCAAAUGAGACAGUGGAGAUGGCGGCUCGGCUUCAGCUCACCCCUGCUGGAGCAUUCUUAGUGAUCACAAAACCCACACUACUGCCUCGCUGAUACCAUAAUGUGCAACCAUGCCUUUUACUUUACAAAUUUCAGGCACUGGCCUUUGGAGAUAACAAGGUUGUGAAGUGUCCCACUUCGGGAAGGAAUGCUAACAAUUGAGUUACCGCCUUGUUGCCACUGACCAGAGCAUCAGGUGGUCCAUUACUCAAGAUAACCGUGGCAACCAGAUAUGCUGACCCUCAUCCCCUACCCUCAGGAGAAGGUAUGACAUAGCUCCACCUACAUGCAAGGGGAGCCAGGAAGUGCAAUCCCUGGCUGGGCUGCCACGUCUCAGAAACCAUUAAGCCUAUGGAAGGUCUCUGGAUUUGAUGGCAAAUGGCAGCAGAAAUGUGGAAAAGAUCAAAGUGAUGUCAAGGUUGAUCUCUGAGUUUGGCAUGGCUGAACUCAAACAUCAUUUGCCAUGGACCCACAGUGUCUUCAGUAGCUGAGUGUGGUGUCAUUCCCCUAUGAUAUGUGCACUCAAUUGCUGGCCAGUUUUUGUUUUUUGUUUUUGAGAGAGUCUCGCUUUGUCUCCUAGGCUGGAGUGCAGUGGCACGAUCUCGGCUCACUGCAACCUCCGCCUCCCGGGUUCAAGUGAUUUUCCUGCCUCAGCCUCCCGAGUAGCUGAGAUUACAGGCAUGUGCCAGCAGGCCCGGCUAAUUUUUUUUGUAAUUUUAGUAGAGACGGGGUUUUGCCAUGUUGGCCAGGCUGGUCUCGAGCUCCUGGCCUCAAGUGAUCCACCUGCCUCCACCUCCCAAAGUGCUGGGAUUACAGGUGUGAGCCACUGUACCUGGCCCCAAAGUUUUAGAAAUUGGAUCAUUUUAAAUGUUGGAGGGGAGUUCAUUGUUUAGGAUGGCUGUGUGGCAAAUCUUUUUUUAAAGUAAGUAAUUCUCCUCUAUUAUAAGUCACCUCCUGAUCUCUACAUUUAAGGUUUGCUGUCCUGGAUGUGUUCACCUAUGAAUGUAAGUGUGCUGAGAUACACAGUGCAAGGCUGAAGUCAGAGUACACCACUGAUGAACCCCUGGGAACUGGUAACCCAGCCAGGGAAUGAACAUCUUUUAUGAAUCAGUUUAUCCACCAAACACUUGCAGAGAGCCUAUCCCAUGCCACCCCUGAGGGCACGGUGAUGGAGAAGAUAUGCUUCCUGCCUCCAAGAACCCCAUAGUCUAGUGGCAGAGACAAGCAGGUACAUAGCUGCCUAUAGUACAGCAUCACAGGUGCCAUAACAUUGUGUAAACUGGGAAUAAUUCUAUUCUCUGGAUAUAGAACAUCUAACCAAGAUAUUGAGUAUCUGGCUUCCCCUUCCCCACACUGGCCCUCACUGGGAUCCAUGUCUAAUAUUAUGAAAGUCACACAAUAUCAUUAUAAACUAAUCAUAAAUGGCACUGUCAGUUUGCUACAAAAACUUAUUCAGAAAAUAUUCAGAUUCUCCCAUCAACAUAUGCCGCUAUGUUGGCAAAAGCUCUGAUUUAAAAUACUUAUUUCGUUUUCCUCUCCGAUUUUGUUCUAGUCUUCAAAAUGAUUUCAUACAACAUAGCACUGAGUUCCUUAGUUCCUCUGACCCCUGCCAGAUCUGAAGCUGUGAUGUUCAAAAGUCAGGGCAGAGUCCAUCUUAUGAUUGAGUUUCAUAAGAGUCUAAGCCACUGAUCAACAUACUGUGGCAGAGUAAGCUUUCUGGGUUCCAGAAUUUAUUGUGAGUGGGCUGAGGGAGUUGAGAAAUGGCAUGGGAGGCCUAAAGAGAAAAUAACUUUUGAAUGAAAAUUAUAGGAAAGUGGAUUUGAGAUCAAAACAAAGGAAGGUUGAUCAUAGUUGGAAUCAUUUAAGAUUGGUGGGGGUAGUGGGCUUCUGGUUCUUAACCCAGGCCAGGCAGAGGUGUGACAACAGUCAGGGGUUUCUAAACAGGGUGGGAGGUUAGAUGAGAAUAGCCUUCAACCCUUUGUGUUGAACUAAAAUCCUAGCUCUGCUUUCAACUCCUAGACUCUGCUUCAUCAUUGCUAAGUUGGAAAGAGCAAGCAAUUGAGAGUCCCUGCUGGCCACAGCUGGGGUGCCCCAGACCACAGCACUGAGCCUCAAAGGCAAGUGAGCAUAGUGUUGGGAGCUGGGCUUCUGGAUCCAUCAACUCCAUCUGAUGACUCGGAAGUUCCUUCAGUUCCCAACACUGGAGUCCAGCAAGGCUGGUUUGUCUUGUUUUAAUUAUUAUUUAGAUGACUGUUUGGCUCAUACCUGAGCAAGGUUCAAAUCAAGUCAGACCUGUUAAUUUAAUCAAAGUUAUAUAAUCACAUUUGGGCACUUAAAUGUAAACCAAUUAUGUUGGAAGCCAAGUAUCUUGUACUCAGGAGGGAGUUCUAAUAAGUGCUGGGAAUGUAUGCUAAUGCACAAAGCCUAACCCCCAGAGUGGAGGGUGGAGCACUCCAGGGCACUCCUGUUUCGGUGACGUUGUUUUAAUAGCUAGUGCUCUGGGUGCAGUCUGGGAAGAUAUUGGAAACAUCUCAAGCAAGUAUGACAUCCAUUUUACCCAAGCCCAUGGAACCCAUUAUGUUUGGAACAUGUCUGUCUGUGGCAUUUGGCUUGGCUUAUAAAUGCACUAUCAGAAUCUAUAGGAGGCCUUCGCAACAAGACGUGUCUUGGCCUUUCUGGUUAUCAGCAAUCCCUCCACCUCUCUCUUAACAAACAUAUGCCAUAAGUCCUGAUCAGGCAUUUAGUUUUUUCACUUGGACCUUUUCCUAGUUCCUAGUCUCAACCCCAAUGCCUCCUAAUCUUGUACUUCUUCAAAUACUGGCCCCCCUCUACUAUGAGAGAGAGAGGAAAGUAGGGAGGAGAAGGAGGAAAAGUUAUUGAGUUGAUAUGAGGGUAGUCAACCUAAAGCAACAAUCAGGAGUAAGGUACUGGACUUGAGUUUGAAGUGUUUGUCACUAAACUCUCUCAAACUCUUCCAGGCUAACUAGCCUCAGAGGGCUUCUAGCCCAUAGUCUCCUUGUAUUUUCUGCCCUCCUCACUUGGAGUGGGAGGGAACCAGAUGUCCAGUCUUUGUCCCGUGUUAAGAACUGGCCUGGCAGGCUUUGUUGAGACCAUCCAGACUUGAAAGCCUCACAACCAGAUGCCAUCACAGGCACUUUCUGCUCUUAACCUUUGUCUGUGUCUCCUACAUGAACUCAUCAGACUGCCUCUGAAGAGGGACAUUCUAGGGACAGUUUCAUCUUCAUCACCAUCCUGGAUAGGGAACCCUUCCAGACUCAGAGUUGCAAAAGUCAGGGAGGGGCUGCUCACUGGAGGUGGAGUCCUUUGGCCAGGUUUCACUGUAAACACAUGGCUAAAAUGUGUCGCACAUGGACAGGCAUGCUAGUGUGCUCUGGAUACAUGCUAGUGUGCCCCAGAUAUAUGCUAGUGUGCCCCGUAUAGCUUCUGGCUAAAGGACACACCUCAGCAAGGCCAAAUGAGGCAUCAGGAUGAACUCUUCAAAUAGACUUCAUUAGACCCACAGAAGACUAACCUUUGCCUGACUUUGGAUUACCCCUUUCUUGCCAGGAAUUAUGUUCAAUGACUAUAUCUGGAACUAGAGGUCUUGAUAGCCACACUUUGCUUGGUGUGGCUUCUCAGUCUUUUAAGGACAUGGCUAUCAAGGGCUCAUGUUUAUUCCAGGUCAGCCCUUUACCCCUUUCCUCCAGGGGCAUCUAUGGCAACAAAAGACCAUGACAUCUGGCAGGGCUGGCAGGACUAUUUAGUUUAGGCAGGAAUGUGGGUGUUAGCAUGUCAGAGUACAUCUGAGAAAACAUUCCAAACCAACCUUUCCACACUGGGAACUCAACCCCCAGGAAUCACCAAAGAUAAGGGCAACAGUCUUAUCUCUCGAGGGAAGUUCAGGGUAAAGUCCACUCCUGCUGUGGACCAGAGCUCAGGGAAGAAGAAAGCUCAGGCUGGCUCUGCCUGUCCACUUGAUGAACUUCCACAAAUGCCACUCUGGGAGCUGAGGCAUAUGAAGUGGGGAAGAAAAUACCAGCCCUGCCCUGGAGCUCUGGGAUGGUGGCUGUACACCCCUAAAGAUGCCAGCAGAUCUGAACUGUGGCCUAUGUGUGUUUGGGAAUUGAGAAAUAAGGAGAUAGAGGGACAGCAGGCAGGAAAAACUACAAUUAGUCUCAGCUCACACAGAUUUGGGAGUAUGCAGAUCUGAAUUGUGGCCUCCAUGUGUUUGGCUGAAGGAUAAUGAUCUCAGGCCCAGACUUUUUUUUUUUUUUGUAUCACUCGCUCAGGGGGCUCUGACCAGGAGCUUCUUUCAGAUGACACAGAUCCCGAGGAGCCACUUGCCUUCUACCCAUGACACUUCUAAGAGUGACUCUUGCCAUGUGACCAUAGAGAUAAGUGAAGUUUUCUCCAAUGACAUCAUUAAGAAGUCUAAACUUCCCCAAAGGGAGAGGCUGUGACUAGGAACACAAAUGUCUCAGUGUAUCACACUCAUGCUCCCAGAUCUGUGGGCAGAAAAAGAAAUCAUAGAAUGGUGCAUAUCCUAAAAAUAAAAAGGAAAUUGCUUUUCAAGUUAUGAAAUUUGGCCCUUCUCAUUGUGAGUUUAAAGUACAUGUUACUGCUUCAGUUUCUAAAACAGGAGGUGGCCAAAUUCAGAGUUUAAAAUGUCUAAGUGGUUAUUUGAAAACAGAUAUUUAGAGGCAACUGAGAGAAGAAUACUGGGGCCAUGGGUCUGCAGUCACUUUCCCAGCAGUGCUCUGAGGCCUUGGGUCUCAUAAAAGGUAAUCAUAGUUACGCCUUUUAAAGAAAGCUGAGUCUAACUGUAGCUUUUCCUGCCUGUUGUCCCUCUAUCUCCUUACUUCCCAAUUCUAUCUAUCUUUCAAAACCCAGCUCAAAUCCCACCUCCUUCCAUAAGUCUUCCAUUGUUUAAUAUAGUUGGAAUUUACCUCUCCCUCCUCUAACUCCCAUGGCAUUUUAUUUACACCUCUCUGAUGGCCACUUUCUACUUUCUAUAAGGUAAGUUAUAUACUUGUUUUAUAUCAAUAAAUUUCAAAAUAUUGAAAUCUUA